rnacentral:rRNA from 1 species
AGAACGAACGCUGGCGGCAGGCUUAACACAUGCAAGUCGAGCGCCCCGCAAGGGGAGCGGCAGACGGGUGAGUAACGCGUGGGAACGUACCCCUCGGUUCGGAAUAACUCAGGGAAACCUGAGCUAAUACCGGAUACGGCAUUCAAGAGAAAUCUUGGCGGCGAAAGAUUUAUCGCCGAGGGAUCGGCCCGCGUCCGAUUAGCUAGUUGGUGUGGUAAUGGCGCACCAAGGCGACGAUCGGUAGCUGGUCUGAGAGGAUGAUCAGCCACAUUGGGACUGAGACACGGCCCAAACUCCUACGGGAGGCAGCAGUGGGGAAUAUUGGACAAUGGGCGCAAGCCUGAUCCAGCCAUGCCGCGUGAGUGAUGAAGGCCUUAGGGUUGUAAAGCUCUUUCGCCCACGACGAUAAUGACGGUAGUGGGAGAAGAAGCCCGGCUAACUUCGUGCCAGCAGCCGC